rnacentral:rRNA from 1 species
UUGGAGGGCAAGUCUGGUGCCAGCAGCCGCGGUAAUUCCAGCUCCAAUAGCGUAUAUUAAAGUUGUUGCAGUUAAAAGCUCGUAGUUGAAUUUCGGGGUUAGUAGGUUGGUCAUGCCACUGGUAUGUACUGGCCUCACUGAUUCCUCCUUCCUGAUGAGCUGUAAUGCCAUUAAUUUGGUGUUGCGGGGAAUCUGGACUGUUACUUUGAAAAAUUAGAGUGUUUAAAGCAGGCUCACGCUUGAAUACAUUAGCAUGGAAUAAUGAAAUAGGACGUUCGAUCCUAUUUUGUUGGUUUCUAGGAUUGACGUAAUGAUUAAUAGGGAUAGUUGGGGGCAUUAGUAUUCAAUUGUCAGAGGUGAAAUUCUUGGAUUUAUUGAAGACUAACUACUGCGAAAGCAUUUGCCAAGGAUGUUUUCAUUAAUCAAGAACGAAAGUUAGGGGAUCGAAGACGAUCAGAUACCGUCGUAGUCUUAACCAUAAACUAUGCCGACUAGGGGAUCGGGAUGAUGUUAAUUUUUAAUGACUCA